rnacentral:tRNA from 1 species
CGGUUAGCAUUGGUGCCUCUCAAGCACUAGUUCCGGGUUCGACUCCCGGUCGACGCA